UCCAAUUAUUUUCCAUUUGUUGAAGCGGAGGGAAAGUUUCAGCAAUGGCGGCCAUGAAUCUCGUUUCAGCUAGGGUUCACUCUUUCAAUUAAAGGUCAGUAAAGGGUUUUCAAUUUCGAAAUCCAAGGGCUACAAAUUGGGAGCACGAGCUACUUUGGUAGAACCCGGACCAAGAGGAGAUGGUUCUUCGGCGACUCUGUAGGCGUCGAGAGGGGACCUUGCGACGGGCCUUCAGGCGGAGGCCAAGGCCAUGGCACGAGCCGUCAAUGCCUCCUUUUACAGCCUCGAGCUUCUUGCCAACAAGUAUGGGUCACGACUCACGACCUGUCCAGGAUCUAUUAUACCAACACAUGAACUAUAUUUAUAAUAAAGUUUUAAUCGACAUUAACAAUUUUUGCCGCCUAAGACUAUUCAAACAUUAUUGUCAUAAUUAUCCUAUCAUCCUUAACCUUUAAUAUUUCAUGAACCUUCCAGCACAUUUAUCAUUAUCAUCAUUUUAGUCCCUGCUGCCUCGUUAUUGAUUUUUCAAGCUGCAGACCAAUUUUGACAGCUUACUAUCCACCUUGCAAGCCAGUCUCUUUGUUGCCUCAUCUACAUACUUAAGACUUAAGAAAUCAUUAGUCAGUUGCCGCUUACUAAUCCACGUUGUCUGCAUACUUAGCCGACUUUAAAAGUCGGUUUGAUUUCUAACACUCCCCCUUAAAUCGAGCUUUUCAUUCUAAUCUUUUCUUUGAUUUUAUAGAAUACGUCCGCUUUCAAUGGCUUCGUAAAAAGGUCUGUCAAUUGAUCUUCUGUUCUGUAGUAAACUAACUCCAGUUUUUUAUUCUUCACAUGCUCUUGAAUAAAAUGAUACUUCGUAUCGAUAUGCUUGCUUCUACAAUGAGACACUAGAUUCUUUGCAAGAGAUAUUGUGGACUUGUUGUCAAUACAAAUUCUAAUUGGACUUUCUUUUAUAAUAGAUAAUUCACUCGAAAUAUUCUUCAACCAAAUUGCUUAACAUUUGCAUGUUGCAACAACCAUGUAUUCUACUUCUCAUGUUGAGAGAGUUAUUGUUUGUUGCUGUUUCGAUGACCAUGAAAAUGUUGCGGAGCCAAUAUGGAAUAAAUAUUUGGAUGUGCUUUUACGAUCAUCCAAGUCACCACCAUAAUCACUAUCUGAAUAACCAACCAAUUUUGAAAUCUGUGAGAGCGUAUAAAAUAAAACAUGAUCCAUCGUACCUUUGAUGGAUCUCAAAAUUCUCUUUAUUGCAAUCAAGUGAUCUUGUUUUGGCUUCUCCAUAUAUCUGCCAACUAUUCCCAUUGCAUGCAUAAUGUUUGGCCGCAUGAUAGUCAAGUACCUUAAACUUCCAACCAUACUUUUAAAGAACGUUGGAUUUACCGACUCUCUAGAUAAAUCAACGCUUAAUUUCAUGUAUGGUUCUGCUAGCGUGACUACCGACUUGCAAUGUUUCAUUCUAAAUAUUCCAUCUUUCAUUUGUUUCAAUUUAACUCCAAGAAAGUAUGACAUUUCACCAAUACCUGUCAUUUCAAAUUAUUUAGUCAUAGCUUUCUUAAAUUCAUUGAACAUACCUGGAUUGUUUCCCAUGAAAAUCAUAUCAUCCACGUAUAAGCACACGAUCAUGAUGUCAUCAACUCCAUUUUUCUUCGUAUAUAGGGCAUGCUUGUAUGGGUUUUUUGUGAACUCGUUCUUCUGAAAAUAUUAAUCUAUUCUUGUGUUUCAUGCUUUCGGGGCUUGUUUCAGUCUAUAUAAAGCUUUCUUCAAGCGAUAAACUUUGUCUUACUAUCCUUGUUUUCUAUAUCCAAGUGGUUGUCCAAUGUAGAAUUCUUCUUCUAGGUAGCCAUUAAGGAAUGCUCACUUCACAUCCAUCUAAUAAAUCUUCCAGUUAUUUUGUGAUGCAGUUGUCGUGAGAAGCCUUAUAGUGUCAAUCCUAGCGACCAAAGCAAGUACUUCAUCAUAGUCCACUCAAUAUCUUUACUUGUAGCCUUUUGCAACUAGUCUUUCUUUGUAUUUCACCACUUUUCCUUCUUUGUUGGUCUUCGUCUUGUACACCCAUUUGACUCCAAUUGACUAUGUCUUUUUGGUAGACUUGUUAACUCCCACGUGUUAUUUAUUCUUAUUGCUACAAUUUCUUCAUCCAUUACCUUCUUCCAUUUGACAUUUCCAAUUGCAUCUUCAUAUGUUAUUGGAUCACAUUCUGACAUUAAACAGAAUAAUGAAUAAUGAAUAAUGUAAAGAGAAUAGCCCUCUAUAAAAGGCUAUCAGAUUGAGAAUGGAAGGCAGAACUUGAUAUACCCAUUUGAGUUGUUUCUCCAAAUUUUCCAAAAAGUAUCUCAAAAUUUUUAAGUUUACAAAAUUUAAUUUUUAAGUUUCCAAAUUUUCAAACUAAGUUUUCAAAUUACAAAUAUCUCAUUACCAAUCUGAUCCUCAGAUCUUCAAUACUUACUAGUAUCAAAGCCAAGGAGGAGCAAAUAUUUCUAAGUUUAAGAAAAGAUUCAAUUUGUUUUCAAUAUUUCCGAGUUCUGGUUUAACUAUCUUAAUUAAUGUAUUAUUAUUUUGCUGAGAAUUGAUACAGUGUCCAGUUAGCCAUGGGUUAGGCGUGUCAAGGACUAAGUAUACCUGUAAGCAACUUAAUUAAUUCAGAGAUCUAGAUAGUAGAACCCCCUGUAGGAAAUAAAAAACAAAGAAUGUUUCCUUUCCUUAGAAGUACCAAUUCUUUUGCUAACUUUGUUUCUAAUCAAUCCCAAGAAUCUGACCAAACCUCAAACAACACUGUUAAUGAACAAGAAGAACAUUAUAAAAAUAUUCCCCUCUCAAGAAGAACAAAAAAGAAUCUGUAAAGGACUCUUUCAAGAGUUCCAACAAACCAAGUUUACAAGGAAACAACUUUUGAAAAUUUAAAUGAUUUUUGCAGUUAUGUUAUAAAACCAAAAGAAAGGAGUUUACCUAUUCAAAAAGAACAUGAAACAAUCCAAUUAUUAAAUAAAUUUGUCAUUAAUAAACUCAAAGAACAAAGAUACAAAUAUAUCCAUUUUGGAUUAGUCUAGGUUAGGGUCAAACCUCUUAGUGUUGAAGCCACUAAAAAUACCUCAAUUUUAGUAGUAUUAAGAGACUAAAGACACAUUAUGUUUAAUGACUCAUUAUUAGGAACUAUAGAAACAAGCCUAUGUAUAGGCCCAAUACAUUUUAAUUGUUAUCCAAAUUUUAUGGUUUCUUUGACUGAAAAAAAUAUUUUACAAUCUUUGACCCUCCAAAUACAUACCCAUAACUACAAAAUGCUUCCUGGUACGGAAGUAUUAACAUUAGUUUAUAGACUCCAUUUCAAAGCUAUGUAUUCUGUUGUUAAUACCAAGGCUUUACUCCAAAUCCCAAAAGAAGAAACCCUCUGAAUAGAGACAGACACCACAAGAUCUCAUACCACAAUCCCAAGAACAAUACAAUGGCAAAAGAUAAACCUUCCUGGUAAGUGGAAACUUGAAGGUGCUACAGAUCCCGUGGCACCAACCCCAAUAAGAAAUACUUCAUUAAGUGAAAUUUCUCAGCACCAAGAUGGCACAGUUGAAUUAAAAUUCAAUAGGCCACAAAGAAUGCCUCCAAGAUACUCCUUCGAAAUAGGAAGUACCAACACAGCUUUUAGGAGGUUAAAUAUAGAAGAAGAAUCAAAUCCAGAAACACAAACAGUAGAUUUUAGGACAGCCAGAGCCUCUGUCUCUUCUAUCCCAACAACAUUUAGGAGCAAUUUACAAGGAAUAGAUAAUUCCUCAAAUAUAGUUCAACCUAUCUAUGCCAGACAGGAAGAGAGUCCCCAAAAUUCACCAAAUAUGUCACCAACAUAUUCAUCAAUGACUAAUAAUGCUGUAAGACCCAAUAUUUGCUCGGCCCAUUUUUUAAUAACAAUAAAAACAAAAAUUAUUAAAAGUCAGGCAGUUCAUAAUCAUACAGACCAAAUCGACACGGCCCAAACCUAAAUUACCAACCCAAAAUCAAACCCGAAUAACCCUAGCCCAAAACCGAAGCGGCCCAAUGAAAAAGCUAAAACCCUAGCAGCUCCAAGCGCCAUUCUCCCCUGCCAUGCCUUCACCUGCUGCACGUCGCCGCGUCACCUUACGGCCGUACCUGUAAAUACACACACAUAAGAGCAGCAAAAAACGACAGAAAGGGGGCAACAGAGGGGAUUUGGGAUUGAUUUUUAUUUUUUUCUUCUCAUUUUUCUGUAAUUCUGGCUAUAAAGAAGCCAAUACAAACACUGUAAAAAGGGGGGAUGGAAGAAAAAAAAAGGAGAAGAUUUGGGAGAUUUUCUUUUCGUUUUUUACUGUUUUCUUUCUCUUUUUGCUUCUUUGUUAUGAACACACAGAUACACACAUAUUGAAAUACAAAAACAAAGGAAGAAAUCGAAUACCCUUUUUUUGGAA